AAAUAAAAUAAAAUUAAUUUUAUUCUACUUUAUUUUGUAGAUUUUUCUAGAAAAAAAAAGAACUAAGUUCAGGGAGCUUUCUGCAUAAGAUGGCAUUAAGGAUUGAAAUGAACUUUGGAAAAACAUUUAAAGUGGCUUGGCAAGAGAAGAGUAACACUGUGAUCUCCUUGGUAUCUUUCUGAGCUGAAUAUACUAGGAAAGAAUGACCAAACGUUCAUGUCUAUAGCGCACUACUUUCUGACUAUUACUAGAGGCACGAGAGCUGCAGAGAUGUUUCCUGGUUUGCUUGAUGCUGUUCCUGUCGCUCUUUUUCUUCCACUUCUGAAGACGUCGAGGCCAAAUGCAAGAAGAGGGUUGUAACCCUGGGGAGACGUGUACUGCUGUGCAGAGUCACAUAAGAGAACUGUCUGGCACCACAUGGAAACAGAGGUUUGAUAUUUUUUUCCUCAAUACCCAUAUUGUUAGCUGGAGUCCAAAUGCAG
rnacentral:lncRNA from 1 species